rnacentral:rRNA from 1 species
UUGAAAGGGAAACGAUUGAAGUCAGUCGUACCGACGAGAAAUCAACUUUUCGAGUGCGAAUUUGUGGGCGUGCGUGAGCUGUUAAAGGCCUCGCUGUUUGCAAUUAGUGCUUUUUGGGUGUACUUUUUCGUAUGGUAGGCCAACGUCAGUUUCGAUCACCAUAAAAUGAUCGGAGGAAUGUAGCUUUGAUCUCGUAUUGAAGUGUUAUAGCCUUUGGUAGAUGUGGUGAUCGAAACUGAGGAUUGCAACGAAUACCUUUGGGCUAUCCGUCUGACCUCUGGAAGUUGCUUGGGUGCCGAAAGCUUGCUUAUGGUAUUUAAGACGACGGUCAAAAGGUUAGAACGUGAUUACAUUCGUUAAGGAUGUUGACGUA